rnacentral:rRNA from 1 species
GCAGGUAGCUUAACCUUCGGGAGGGCGCUUGCCACGGUGUGGCCGAUGACUGGGGUGAAGUCGUAACAAGGUAGCCGUAUCGGAAGGUGCGGCUGGAUCACCUCCUUUUGAGC